GACGGAUGGGGCUAGCGUUGUUCGGAAUUACUGGGCGUAAAGGGCGCGUAGGCGGCCAAUUAAGUUAGACGUGAAAGCCCUGGGCUCAACCUAGGAACUGCGUUUAAUACUGGUUGGCUAGAGUAUGGUAGAGGAAAGCGGAAUUCCUAGUGUAGAGGUGAAAUUCGUAGAUAUUAGGAAGAACACCAGAGGCGAAGGCGGCUUUCUGGGCCAUUACUGACGCUGAGGCGCGAAAGCGUGGGGAGCAAACAGG
rnacentral:rRNA from 1 species